GUUGUUGUGGAUGAGUGGAUAGGAUGAUAAAAUUGAAAUCCAUUGGGGACUCCCUGCGCAGGUUCGAAUCCUGCCGACAACG